UGCUGGGAGUGGGCUGGACCGGACGCCAGAGACAAAGGCUCUCAAGGCAAGAGGGGCUGUGACGCUGCUCGGGAUUUUUGGCCCAGGACUUUUCGCCCCUUCGUUUUUCUCUUCUGACGCUCUUUUCCCAAGCCCGCGUCCCCUCACCCGCGACCUCGCUCCUCAGCGGAAGGACCGCGAUGGAGGUCCCGCCCCGGCUUUCCCAUGUGCCGCCGCCAUUGUUCCCCUCCGCUCCCGCUACUUUAGCCUCCCGCAGCCUCUCCCAUUGGCGGCCGAGGGCGCCGCGGCAGCUCGCCCCGCUCCUCCCUUCGCUCGCUCCCAGCUCCGCCCGGCAGGGGACGCGCCGGGCCCAGCGCCACGUCACCGCCCAGCAGCCCUCCCGAUUGGCGGGCGGGGCGGCUAUAAAGGGAGGGCGCAGGCGGCGCCCGGAUCUCUUCCGCCGCCAUUUUAAAUCCAGUUCCAUACAACGUUCUGCCGCCGCUGCUUCCGCGACACGGAUUGCGCGCCAGCGCCUCCCGGCCGACAACUCAGCCGCUAUGGAAGACAUGAACGAGUACAGCAACAUAGAGGAAUUCGCAGAGGGAUCCAAGAUCAACGCGAGCAAGAAUCAGCAGGAUGACGGUAAAAUGUUUAUUGGAGGCUUGAGCUGGGAUACAAGCAAGAAAGAUCUGACUGAAUAUUUGUCUCGAUUUGGGGAAGUUGUAGACUGCACAAUUAAAACAGAUCCAGUCACUGGAAGAUCAAGAGGAUUUGGAUUUGUGCUUUUCAAAGAUGCUGCUAGUGUUGAUAAGGUUUUGGAAAUGAAAGAACACAAGCUGGAUGGCAAAUUGAUAGACCCUAAAAGAGCCAAAGCUUUAAAAGGGAAGGAACCCCCUAAAAAGGUUUUUGUGGGUGGAUUGAGUCCAGAUACUUCAGAAGAACAAAUUAAAGAAUAUUUUGGAGCCUUUGGAGAGAUUGAAAAUAUUGAACUUCCCAUGGAUACAAAAACAAAUGAAAGAAGAGGAUUUUGUUUUAUUACAUAUACAGACGAAGAGCCAGUAAAGAAAUUGUUAGAAAGCAGAUAUCAUCAAAUUGGUUCUGGGAAGUGUGAAAUCAAAGUUGCACAACCCAAAGAGGUAUAUAGGCAGCAACAGCAACAACAAAAAGGAGGAAGAGGUGCUGUAGCUGGUGGACGAGGUGGUACUAGGGGUCGUGGCCGAGGUCAGGGCCAAAACUGGAACCAAGGAUUUAAUAACUAUUAUGAUCAAGGAUAUGGAAAUUACAAUAGUGCCUAUGGUGGUGAUCAAAACUAUAGUGGCUAUGGCGGCUAUGAUUAUACUGGGUAUAACUAUGGGAACUAUGGAUAUGGACAGGGAUAUACAGACUACAGUGGCCAACAGAGCACUUACGGCAAGGCAUCUCGAGGGGGUGGCAAUCACCAAAAUAAUUACCAGCCAUACUAAAAGGGGACGUUGGAGAAAACAGCGGGAACUUCAUUGCAGGCCGUGUGUCACCCUGACCACGUCUAUCUCUGGGGGUCGCACGUUGCGGGCAGAGCGCAAGGCAUACACCAGAAAACGCUGUCCUGUGGAAGAGAUUGCUAAAGUAACCCAUCUUGCAGGACGACAGUGAAGAUUGGUCUUCUGUUGAUCUAAGAUGAUUAUUUUGUAAAAGACUUUCUAGUGUACAAGACACAACUGUGUCCAACUGUAUAUAGCUGCCAAUUAGUUUUUGUUUUUACCUUGUCUUUUGCUAUCUGUGUUAUGACUCGACGUGGAUUUGUGUUUAUACAAAUUUUAUUUGUAUGAUUUCAUGUUAAACCUCAAAUAAAUGCUUCCUUCUGUGAUUGUU